UACAGAGGUGGCAAGCGUUGUUCGGAAUUACUGGGCGUAAAGGGCGCGUAGGCGGCCUUCUAAGUCAGACGUGAAAUCCCCCGGCUUAACCUGGGAACUGCGUCUGAUACUGGGAGGCUCGGGUAUGGGAGAGGGAUGUAGAAUUCCAGGUGUAGCGGUGAAAUGCGUAGAUAUCUGGAGGAAUACCGGUGGCGAAGGCGGCAUCCUGGACCAUUACUGACGCUGAGGCGCGAAAGCUAGGGGAGCAAACGGG
rnacentral:rRNA from 1 species